rnacentral:tRNA from 1 species
GGGCCGGUAGCUCAGCUUGGCUGGAGCGUUCGGCUGAUAACCGAAAGGUCGGGAGUUCGAAUCUCCCCCGGCCCA